UGAGGAAUAUUGGGCAAUGGACGAAAGUCUGACCCAGCCAUGCCGCGUGCAGGAUGAAGGCCCUAUGGGUUGUAAACUGCUUUUGUACAGGAGGAAACACCUGAACGUGUUCAGGUUUGACAGUACUGUGCGAAUAAGCAUCGGCUAACUCCGUGCCAGCAGCCGCGGUAAUACGGAGGAUGCAAGCGUUAUCCGGAUUUAUUGGGUUUGAAGGGUGCGUAGGCGGGAUAAUAAGUCAGAGGUGAAAUCUCCCGGCUUAACCGGGAAACUGUCUUUGAUACUGUUAUUCUUGAGUAUAGUUGAGGUGGGCGGAAUGUGUAAUGUAGCGGUGAAAUGCAUAGAUAUUACACAGAACACCUAUUGCGAAGGCAGCUCACUAAACUAAGACUGACGCUGAGGCACGAAAGCGUGGGUAGCGAACAGGAUUAGAUACCCUGGUAGUCUACGCCGUAAACGAUGAAUACUCGAUGUGUGCGACAUAUUGUACGCGUCUGAGCUAAAGCAUUAAGUAUUCCACCUGGGGAGUACGACCGCAAGGUUG
rnacentral:rRNA from 1 species